GAUGAACGCUAGCGGCAGGCUUAACACAUGCAAGUCGAGGGGCAGCAUGAUGAAACUUUCGGGUUUCAUUGAUGGCGACCGGCGCAAGGGUGCGUAACGCGUGAGCAACUUGCCCUUAUCAGGGGGAUAACCGGUGGAAACGCCGACUAAUACCCCAUAGCAUCACUUUAAGGCAUCUUUUAGUGAUUAAAGAAUUUCGGAUAAGGAUAGGCUCGCGUGACAUUAGCUAGAUGGCGGGGUAACGGCCCACCAUGGCGACGAUGUCUAGGGGUUCUGAGAGGAAGGUCCCCCACACUGGAACUGAGACACGGUCCAGACUCCUACGGGAGGCAGCAGUGAGGAAUAUUGGUCAAUGGCCGAGAGGCUGAACCAGCCAUGCCGCGUGAAGGUCACGGCCCUAUGGGUCUUAAACUUCUUUUGUAAGGGAGCAAUAAGGUUCACGUGUGGACUGAUGAGAGUACCUUACGAUAAGCAUCGGCUAACUCCGUGCC
rnacentral:rRNA from 1 species